rnacentral:lncRNA from 1 species
UGUAUUGAUUGAUUUUCUCAUUGUUUCCCUCUCUGGUUAAUGCAUCUCAUUCUAGAGAGGCAGCCUUACAGCAGACUUCUUGGCGCUCUGACUCUUACAGUCUUUCUGACCCCUCUUCCUCUAUGUUCCUUGAGCCCUAGGUUUGGAAGCUGAAGUGUUGGAAAAGCAUGUGUAGCAAAGAGGGGCCAUCAAAGCAGAGGCCUGUGGGAUUCAGACUUGGGCAAAUAGGAUAGGAGCUUCGAGAGUCCAUAUACAACUCAUGUCUGACAGCUUGGUCACCAGAGAACAACUAUGGCCUUCAUCAUGACUGUAAAGAUGUGGGAUAAGCCCAGUCAGGUCCUUGAAAGUGGCUGAGCCCAACUGAAAUGGAUGCAGACAGUAGUUGGAAGAAAGUAACAAGGACAACAGUGGCAUAUCCAUGAGCAGUCCUGAGGAGGAGGAGCUAGAAUUAACGGUGUGGCAGAAGCCAGAUGCCUCAAACCAGAACAAUAUACUCAGCUCACCAACAGAACAACUCACUGUAAUGAGCAUUUGUAAGUAGAGCUGUGUGGACAAAGGGGUGACUGUGUGACAAACCAUGAUACACUGCAGCUUCCAAGGUGAGAUGGGUUUGUUCGUUUU